AUGCAGCAGGCGCGAAACUUUACAAUGUGCGAAAGCACGAUAAGGGAACUCUGAGUGCCUCCUAAGGAGGCUGUUCAGGUGUCUAAAAGCACCUGAAGGAAGGGCCGGGUAAGACCGGUGCCAGCCGCCGCGGUAACACCGGCAGCCCAAGUGGUAGCCACGUUUAUUGGGUCUAAAGCGUCCGUAGCCGGCUGGGUAAGUUCCUUGGGAAAUUUGGCUGCUUAACAGUCAAGCUUUCAGGGAAUACUGCCCGGCUUGGGACCGGGAGAGGUCAGAGGUACUCCAGGGGUAGGGGUGAAAUCCAUUAAUCCUUGGGGGACCACCGGUAGCGAAGGCGUCUGACCAGACCGGGUCCGACGGUGAGGGACGAAGGCUAGGGGCGCGAACCGGAUUAGAUACCCGUGUAGU
rnacentral:rRNA from 1 species